rnacentral:rRNA from 1 species
CUUCCGUAGGUGAACCUGCGGAAGGAUCAUUAAAUAAUCAAUAAUCUUGGCUUGUCCAUUAUUAUCUAUUUACUGUGAACUGUAUUAUUAUUUGACAUUUGAGGGAUGUUCCAAUGUUAUAAGGAUAGACAUUGGAAAUGUUAACCGAGUCAUAAUCAGGUUUAGGCCUGGUAUCCUAUUAUUAUUUACCAAAUGAAUUCAGAAUUAAUAUUGUAACAUAGACCUAAAAAAUCUAUAAAACAACUUUUAACAACGGAUCUCUUGGUUCUCGCAUCGAUGAAGAACGUAGCAAAGUGCGAUAACUAGUGUGAAUUGCAUAUUCAGUGAAUCAUCGAGUCUUUGAACGCAACUUGCGCUCAUUGGUAUUCCAAUGAGCACGCCUGUUUCAGUAUCAAAACAAACCCUCUAUCCAACUUUUGUUGUAUAGGAUUAUUGGGGGCCUCUCGAUCUGUAUAGAUCUUGAAAUCCCUGAAAUUUACUAAGGCCUGAACUUGUUUAAAGCCUGAACUUUUUUUUAAUAUAAAGGAAAGCUCUUGUAAUUGACUUUGAUGGGGCCUCCCAAAUAAAUCUCUUUUAAAUUUGAUCUGAAAUCAGGCGGGAUUACCCGCUGAACUUAA